GAGCACUGUUUCGGCAAGGGGGUCAUCCCGACUUACCAACCCGAUGCAAACUGCGAAUACCGGAGAAUGUUAUCACGGGAGACACACGGCGGGUGCUAACGUCCGUCGUGAAGAGGGAAACAACCCAGACCGCCAGCUAAGGUCCCAAAGUCAUGGUUAAGUGGGAAACGAUGUGGGAAGGCCCAGACAGCCAGGAUGUUGGCUUAGAAGCAGCCAUCAUUUAAAGAAAGCGUAAUAGCUCACUGGUCGAGUCGGCCUGCGCGGAAGAUGUAACGGGGCUAAACCAUGCACCGAAGCUGCGGCAGCGACGCUGAUGCGUUGUUGGGUAGGGGAGCGUUCUGUAAGCCUGUGAAGGUGUGCUGUGAGGCAUGCUGGAGGUAUCAGAAGUGCGAAUGCUGACAUAAGUAACGAUAAAGCGGGUGAAAAGCCCGCUCGCCGGAAGACCAAGGGUUCCUGUCCAACGUUAAUCGGGGCAGGGUGAGUCGACCCCUAAGGCGAGGCCGAAAGGCGUAGUCGAUGGGAAACAGGUUAAUAUUCCUGUACUUGGUGUUACUGCGAAGGGGGGACGGAGAAGGCUAUGUUGGCCGGGCGACGGUUGUCCCGGUUUAAGCGUGUAGGCUGGUUUUCCAGGCAAAUCCGGAAAACUAAGGCUGAGGCGUGAUGACGAGGCACUACGGUGCUGAAGCAACAAAUGCCCUGCUUCCAGGAAAAGCCUCUAAGCAUCAGGUAACAUCAAAUCGUACCCCAAACCGACACAGGUGGUCAGGUAGAGAAUACCAAGGCGCUUGAGAGAACUCGGGUGAAGGAACUAGGCAAAAUGGUGCCGUAACUUCGGGAGAAGGCACGCUGAUAUGUAGGUGAAGUCCCUCGCGGAUGGAGCUGAAAUCAGUCGAAGAUACCAGCUGGCUGCAACUGUUUAUUAAAAACACAGCACUGUGCAAACACGAAAGUGGACGUAUACGGUGUGACGCCUGCCCGGUGCCGGAAGGUUAAUUGAUGGGGUCAGCGCAAGCGAAGCUCUUGAUCGAAGCCCCGGUAAACGGCGGCCGUAACUAUAACGGUCCUAAGGUAGCGAAAUUCCUUGUCGGGUAAGUUCCGACCUGCACGAAUGGCGUAAUGAUGGCCAGGCUGUCUCCACCCGAGACUCAGUGAAAUUGAACUCGCUGUGAAGAUGCAGUGUACCCGCGGCAAGACGGAAAGACCCCGUGAACCUUUACUAUAGCUUGACACUGAACAUUGAGCCUUGAUGUGUAGGAUAGGUGGGAGGCUUUGAAGUGUGGACGCCAGUCUGCAUGGAGCCGACCUUGAAAUACCACCCUUUAAUGUUUGAUGUUCUAACGUUGACCCGUAAUCCGGGUUGCGGACAGUGUCUGGUGGGUAGUUUGACUGGGGCGGUCUCCUCCUAAAGAGUAACGGAGGAGCACGAAGGUUGGCUAAUCCUGGUCGGACAUCAGGAGGUUAGUGCAAUGGCAUAAGCCAGCUUGACUGCGAGCGUGACGGCGCGAGCAGGUGCGAAAGCAGGUCAUAGUGAUCCGGUGGUUCUGAAUGGAAGGGCCAUCGCUCAACGGAUAAAAGGUACUCCGGGGAUAACAGGCUGAUACCGCCCAAGAGUUCAUAUCGACGGCGGUGUUUGGCACCUCGAUGUCGGCUCAUCACAUCCUGGGGCUGAAGUAGGUCCCAAGGGUAUGGCUGUUCGCCAUUUAAAGUGGUACGCGAGCUGGGUUUAGAACGUCGUGAGACAGUUCGGUCCCUAUCUGCCGUGG
rnacentral:rRNA from 1 species